rnacentral:rRNA from 1 species
UACGAAGGGGGCAUGCGUUGUUUCGGAAUUAGCUAGGGGCGUAAAGCGCGCGCAGGCGGUUCUUACAAGUCAGAGGUAGAAAGCCCAGAGCUCAACUCUGGAAUGGCCUUUGAGACUAGAGAACUAGGGUACGGGAGAGGUGAGUGGAAUUCCGAGUGUAGAGGUGAAUUCGUAGAUAUUCGGAAGAACACCAGUGGCGAAGGCGACUCGCUGGACAGUAUUGACGCUGAGGUG